rnacentral:rRNA from 1 species
UGGGGAAUAUUGCACAAUGGGGGGAACCCUGAUGCAGCGACGCCGCGUGGAGGAAGAAGGUCUUCGGAUUGUAAACUCCUGUUGUUGGGGACGAUAAUGACGGUACCCAACAAGGAAGUGACGGCUAACUACGUGCCAGCAGCCGCGGUAAAACGUAGGUCACAAGCGUUGUCCGGAAUUACUGGGUGUAAAGGGAGCGCAGGCGGGAAGACAAGUUGGGAGUGAAAUCUAUGGGCUCAACCCAUAAACUGCUCUCAAAACUGUUUUCUUGAGUAGUGCAGAGGUAGGCGAAUUCCCGGUGUAGCGGUGGAAUGCGUAGAUAUCGGGAGAACACCAGUGGCGAAGGCGGCCUACUGGGCACCAACUGACGCUGAGGCUCGAAAGUGUGGGUAGCAAACAGGAUUA